UACGUAGGCAGCGAGCGUUGUUCGGAGUUACUGGGCGUAAAGAGUGCGUAGGCGGUUUUCUAAGUUUGGUGUGAAAUCUCCCGGCUUAACUGGGAGGGUGCGCCGAAAACUGGAAGGCUUGAGUAUGGGAGAGGUAAGCGGAAUUCCUGGUGUAGCGGUGAAAUGCGUAGAUAUCAGGAGGAACACCGGUGGCGAAGGCGGAUCUCUGGGCCUUGCCUGACGCUGAGGCGCGAAAGCUAGGGGAGCGAACAGG
rnacentral:rRNA from 1 species